rnacentral:rRNA from 1 species
UACGUAGGGGGCAAGCGUUAUCCGGAUUUACUGGGUGUAAAGGGAGCGUAGACGGCAAAGCAAGUCUGAAGUGAAAGCCCCGGGCUCAACCCGGGAAUUGCUUUGGAAACUGUUUAGCUGGAGUGCAGGAGAGGUAAGCGGAAUUCCUAGUGUAGCGGUGAAAUGCGUAGAUAUUAGGAGGAACACCGGCGGCGAAGGCGGCUUACUGGACUGUAACUGACGUUGAGGCUCGAAAGCGUGGGGAGCAAACAGG